UUGGCUGUGACAACCCGUGAAUUGCUAUCAUUUCCUCCUAUAUUUUGAACACGAGUCUCCCUCGUCUGAUUUUGCAUGAACUGCAAAAAGCUUCUAAACAUCGCAUCAUUCAUCGUUUGCUCGGUAGUGUUGUUUACAGGAGGAAUAUUGCCUUCCUGAUGCACGUUCUCCUGGUUUGUGACUAAAGGUAUCUCCACAGUCUCAUACACUCCAUUGUUAACGUUCUCAGCUGCCAUCUUAAAUACUGCCAUAAAACAAGGGUUAAUUAAACAU
rnacentral:lncRNA from 1 species